rnacentral:tmRNA from 1 species
GGGGGCGUACCGGUUUCGACGGGGAUGUUGAGGCUGGAUAAGCGGGCAGCGGCGCCCAGCCGCUCUAAAAUGGGCACUUAUAAAUCAAAGAACAACGAUAGAAAUUACGUUGCUGUCGCGGCCUGAUUAGGCUCUGCGACCUGCGCCCACUGUGCGCGCACGCCGAUCCCGGGAGGGCCACGAACCGGGCUGGGUGAUGCCUUUUAGUGGCGGACGUGAGUACCCAAAGCUUUGAGGGUGCCAUGACUUUAUGAAGCUACUGAACCGGGAAGUGUGUCAGUUCACGCCCCGGCGAGGGAAUGCAAAUAACUGACUGCGCCCGGAGAAGGUCCUGAGGAUGCGUUUUCGGACAUGGGUUCGACUCCCAUCGCCUCCAU